AGAGUUUGAUCCUGGCUCAGGAUGAACGCUGGCGGCGUGCUUAACACAUGCAAGUCGAACGAAGCACUUUAUUUGACUUCCUUCGGGACUGAUUAUUUUGUGACUGAGUGGCGGACGGGUGAGUAACGCGUGGGUAACCUGCCUUGUACAGGGGGAUAACAGUUGGAAACGGCUGCUAAUACCGCAUAAGCGCACGGCAUCGCAUGAUGCAGUGUGAAAAACUCCGGUGGUAUAAGAUGGACCCGCGUUGGAUUAGCUAGUUGGUGAGGUAACGGCCCACCAAGGCGACGAUCCAUAGCCGGCCUGAGAGGGUGAACGGCCACAUUGGGACUGAGACACGGCCCAGACUCCUACGGGAGGCAGCAGUGGGGAAUAUUGCACAAUGGGGGAAACCCUGAUGCAGCGACGCCGCGUGAAGGAAGAAGUAUCUCGGUAUGUAAACUUCUAUCAGCAGGGAAGAUAGUGACGGUACCUGACUAAGAAGCCCUGGCUAACUACGUGCCAGCAGCCGCGGUAAUACGUAGGGGGCAAGCGUUAUCCGGAUUUACUGGGUGUAAAGGGAGCGUAGACGGUGUGGCAAGUCUGAUGUGAAAGGCAUGGGCUCAACCUGUGGACUUGCAUUUGGAAACUGUCAUACUUGAGUGCCGGAGGGGUAAGCGGAAUUCCUAGUGUAACGGGGAAAUGCGUAGAUAUUAGGAGGAACACCAGGGGGGAAGGCGUCUUACUGGGAGGUAAGUGGCGUGUAGGCUUCGAAAGCGGGGGGAGCAAACAGGAGAGGAUACCAUGGUAGUUCCAGCGGUAAACGAUGAAUAUUAGGUGUCGGGGGUCAGGAGUGCUUCGGUGCGGCAGCAGCCGCAAUAAGUAUUCCAUCGGGGGAGGGGGUGAGCAUGAAGGAAACUCCCAGGAAUGGGCCGGGACCCGCGCUAGCGGCGGAGCAUGGGCUUUAAUUUGAAGCGAUGUGACGAGCGUUAUCAGGCCUUGACGUCGAUAUCACCGGUGAGUCAUGUCACCUUUCUGAUGGGACUGGAGAGACAGGUGGGGCAGGGUGGUGGUCGGCUGGGAUCGUGGGAGGGGGGGUGAAGUCCAGCAGCGAGCGCCACCCCUCUGUGUAGUGGCCAGCUCUUUAGGGGGGCAGUCUAGAGAGGUUUCCAGGGAGGACAGGGGGCAAGGAGGGGAAGGCGUCAAAUCAUCGUGCGCUCUAUCACCAGGCCCCCCCGGGUGCUCCAAUGGUGUUUCCGGAGGGAAGCAGCCUUGGGAGAGUGAGCGGAUCCCAAAAUCACCCUGGCAGCUGGGAUGGCCGUGAGCAACUCGAGUACAUGAAGCGGCAAUCGCGAGUAAUCGAGAAUCGGAACGUGGCGGGGAACGCGUUCCGGGCCCUUGGACUCGCCGCCCGUCA
rnacentral:rRNA from 1 species